rnacentral:rRNA from 1 species
CGUGAAAUUGUUGAAAGGGAAACGUUUGACACCAGUCAUGUGGGUGGAAAAUCAGUCUUUUGCAUUGGGGAGUUGUAAGGGUUCGGACCGCAAUGCCGGCUUUUGCUUCAUCUUUGGUGUAAGUGAUGCACUUUUUCAUUUACAGGUCAACAUCAGUUUCUUUUGCUGGACAAAACUCCGAGAGACGUUAGCAGCUUAGUCUGUGUUAUAGCUCUGGAGCGAUACAGUGAAGUGGACUGAGGUUUUCGC